rnacentral:rRNA from 1 species
GAUGAACGCUGGCGGCGUGCUUAACACAUGCAAGUCGAACGAAGCACCUUGAUUUGAUUCUUCGGAUGAAGAUCCUGGUGACUGAGUGGCGGACGGGUGAGUAACGCGUGGGUAACCUGCCUCAUACAGGGGGAUAACAGUUAGAAAUGACUGCUAAUACCGCAUAAGACCACAGCACCGCAUGGUGCAGGGGUAAAAACUCCGGUGGUAUGAGAUGGACCCGCGUCUGAUUAGGUAGUUGGUGGGGUAACGGCCUACCAAGCCGACGAUCAGUAGCCGACCUGAGAGGGUGACCGGCCACAUUGGGACUGAGACACGGCCCAAACUCCUACGGGAGGCAGCAGUGGGGAAUAUUGCACAAUGGGGGAAACCCUGAUGCAGCGACGCCGCGUGAGCGAUGAAGUAUUUCGGUAUGUAAAGCUCUAUCAGCAGGGAAGAAAAUGACGGUACCUGACUAAGAAGC